UACAGAGGGGGCAAGCGUUGUUCGGAAUUACUGGGCGUAAAGGGCGCGUAGGCGGCCUUCUAAGUCGAACGUGAAAUCCCUGGGCUCAACCCAGGAACUGCGUCCGAUACUGGAAGGCUUGAAUCCGGGAGAGGGAUGCGGAAUUCCAGGUGUAGCGGUGAAAUGCGUAGAUAUCUGGAGGAAUACCGGUGGCGAAGGCGGCAUCCUGGACCGAAACUGACGCUGAGGCGCGAAAGCUAGGGGAGCAAACGGG
rnacentral:rRNA from 1 species